GAAAACAUACCGAAAUUUAGACUUAAAAUACCCCUACUAGCACUACCCUUUGCGAACAUGACCUCAGCUUUGCGUUUGCAAAAUACAACAUCCACUGCCUGUGUCAUGACCCAGAACCAUCAUCUGGUCGUGAUGUUUCUUAACUCACUUGCUAGGGAAGCCAAGCAUAAUAAUAACAAUUCAAUAUAAUGAAUUACAAAAUAAUACAAGUCUAAAAGCCAAUACCAUAAAUAAAACUGAAUUAUUACAAUAAAUCUCCCAGAACUAGCAAUACAAAGUCAUGAGCUCUACACUAGGAAUACACGUCUAAUAAUAUAUAAAAAUAUUGUUUGGACAAAAACAAUAUUACAUAAAUAGAAAGAGACGUCAAGGACUUGUACAAAGUGCAUCUCUACCUCAUCUCACAUCAACUCAACAACAAUCCAGAAAAGCUCUCAGUUGGGUCCCAUACCUGGAUCAGCACAAUUAAGUGCAGAGUUUAGUAUGAGUAUAACUCACCCCACGUACUCCGUAAGCAGCAUGACUAACUUUGGAGAGGAAGUCGCAAGAAUCAUCAAUGAUACUCACGUUAUAAAAUCUGUACAAGUCAUGAAUACAUACGAAUACAUAGUAACAAUACCAGAAUUUGUCUACAACUGCAAGUAACUCAUGGUGCAUGAUAAGUUGGUAUUUUACCAACUUAUCUCGUCUUUAAACUUAGAUUUUUGCUAUGUUUGAUUCAUAAAAUCAUGUUUGUAAUGCCGUUUACUUCUAUUUUACAGGUUCUAUGUGAUUUAUAAGUGAUCAUGAAAAAACUAAGUGAAAACGAGUCAAAGAGAAGUUGAAAAGAAGAAAUCUGGAAAAUGGCAUCAGAUGUCGCAAUUGCGACAUCAACUUGGCAAAUGCAAAGUCAACCAUUCCAGUCAAUGUUCACAAAUGCAAAAUGAGGGUCGCAAAUGCGAAUUCAAACCAAACAGUCAACUUUCGCAAAUGCGAAGCACUUCAUCGCAAAUGCGAAACUAAGUGCACAGUGCCUAGUUCGCAAUUGCCAACAUACAGAUCGCAAAUGCGAUGUUCAACAAUGAUGUCAAGGUUCGCAAUUGUGAACUUAUAUUCGCAAUUGCAAAUGUCGUGCUUUAAAGUAUGGAUUAAAUACCUUGUUGUGCUUGUGUAUUGAAUGAUUUUUAUUUAUUAUGAACUGAGUUAUUAUUUCGUUAAUUAUUCUUGUUCUUUAAUGUUUCCAAAAGGAUUAGCUAACCCUAAGACUCGCAUAUUCACUUCGAAUUAAUUUUGGGAAAAAUAAUUCGGGGUUGGGAAAGAUUAAUUAACAAGAACUUGAGGCAUUAAUCCUCACUUUAUAGAUUCUACCUAUGAAUAGGAUUGAACUACUUAUAGCCAUAUUCGGGUGUGCCUAAUCUCUUAAUUAUUUUAGCGAUAAUUCAAUUAUGAAGUCUUGUUAGUCUUCGGAAGAAGUUAAUAUAAAAUUAUUACCCGAGGCUAAUUAACAUAAACUCGCUCAUAUUUGUAAAAUCGUGAAAUAUAUUGGAUCGUUACUUGAGUGUAAUUCCAAAUGCAUCCAUGAUUAUCGCCAUUGAUCAUUUUACUUGCUUUCUAGGUUAGUUUAUAUUUUCACAAUUAGUUAUAAAUAUUUUCUCAAUUACCUUUUAAGUGUUUGGCUUAGCAUAACAAGUGAUAAUUCUCUUACACUCCUAAUCGCAUAUAUAUUGUACUCUGUGGGAUUCGACCCCGACUCAUAGUUUUGUAAAUUAUAUUGCAUGUGACCGUGUUCAUUUACUUUUAAGUAGUGGAUUUGGACGUCAUCAAAAUUGGUGUCGUUGCCGUAGAACUAACUCGGGUCACCUGCGUGACAGGCGGGAAUACUUACCACUAUAGAGUAUUCCCGCCUGUCACGCGGGUGACUCGGGUUCGUUCCCCAAAAAUGGCACCAAUUUUGAUGACGUUCAAAUCCACUACUAAAAAUUAAAUGGACACGGUCGCAUGCAAUAUAAUUUGCCCAACUAUGAGUCGGGGACGAAUCCCAUCGAGAACAAUAUGUAGGUGAUUAGGCGUGUAAGAGAAUUAUCACUUUUCUCUCUACUUGGAUGAUAUGAACUGGACACCUAACUUGGAAUCAAGUUUGUAACCAUGAGAGGUUGGAGGUGGUAAGUAGAUGAUCAAGCCAAAUGACAUUUGCUUCAUUUUGCAUUUCUUGGCUUUCAUGUGAGGAAUGUCAGUUUGCCUUCUUGUACUUUCAAAUUGUAAAAUGUAUGGCCUUUGCCUUUCCUCUUCACAAUCCCUCAUUGACUCGUGUAGUUCAAUUCCCAUAUCACCAAACAAUUUCAAUGUUCAGAAAUGCUUGAAAUGUGACAUCAAGCCUCCAAAUUGCAAUUCUAUCCGAAGUUUUCCAUCCUCUUUGUCCCCCGAACUAGAGUCAUUUUCAACCACAUCUUCAAAUUUUUUGGUUGACUCUAAUUCCAUAUUUUUCUUGACAUCAUUAACAAGCAUGGAGUCGGUUAGCGGAUAUUCAAUUCUUGAUUCCUCAAAAUAAAGCUCACUUUCUUCCUCGAAGUUAGACUUUUCUUGACCUCUUUCCACACUCUCAAGUUGGUGGGCAUAGUGAGCCUCAUCCAAUAUCUUCAUUUGAUUUUUCAAGAUGCGGAUAUUAUCAUCAUUUUGAGUUAGUACUUUUUUUAAGUCCUCGAGUGCCAAGUUGUGCUUCUCCUCAUUUUCAAGAAUGGUCUCCAACAUGAGCAUCAUCCUCUCAUUUUGUGCCUUUGAGAGUUCUUAUUGGUUUUGAUCAAGUGCCAAAGAAGGAUUUUCGGCUUCAACCUCUAAGGAAGGUUUUUGGCUAUCAUUCACUUCCGAGGCUUUUUGGACCUCUAAAUCUUCAAGCAUUUCUCUCAUUUGUAAGUUCAACCUUUCAACCGCCAAAUCAUUUUAAACACUAUUCUCCAAAAGCUCCUCUAAGGCAUUUUGCUCUUUGUUUCCUCCUUCAAGUAGGCAUUCCAACAUGAGCUUGAACUCUCCAUUUUGACCAUGCUCAAUUUCUUUCACUUCCAUAUCCCUAUACUUGUUAUCACUAAAAGUAGAAUCAUCAUAGUGGGGUUUCGGGGAAGGGAAGGACAGAUAAGCACAAUUAUCCCAAUGACCAUCUUAACCACCACACUUAUCACAAAUACUCCAUUNNNNNNNNNNNNNNNNNNNNNNNNNAUUACACAAAUAUUCACAAGUUUGGACCAAAGCACGUAUGCUUACUUCUCGAACAAUCUAAGUACGCCAAAUUGUUCCCCGGCAAUGGCGCCAAUUUUGAUGACGUCCAAAUCCACUACUAAAAAGUAAAUGGACACGGUCGCAUGCAAUAUAAUUUACCCAACUAUGAGUCGGGGUCGAAUCCCACAGAGAACAAUAUAUAGGAUAUUAGGCGUGUAAGAGAAUUAUUACUUGUUAUGCUUAGCCAAACACUUAAAAGGUGAUUGAGAAAUUAUUUAUAACUAAUUUUAAAAAUAUAAACUAACCUACAAAGCAAGUAAAAUUAUCAAUGGUGAAAAGCAUGGAUGCAUUGGGAAUUACACUCAAGUAACGAUCCAAUAUAUUUCACGAUUUUACAAAUAUGAGCGAGUUUAUGUUAAUUAGCUUCAGGUAAUAAUUCUAUAUUAGGUUCUUCCGAAGACUAACAAGACUUCAUAAUUGAAUUAUUCCUAAAACAAUUAAGAAUUAAGCACACCCGAAUAUGGCUACAAGUAGUUCAAUCCUAUUCCUAAGUAAAAUCUAUAAAGUGAGGGUUACCGCCUCAAGUUCUUGUUAAUUAAUCUUUUUCAACCCCGAAUUAUUUUUUCCAAAAUUAAUUCGAAGUGAAUGGGCGAGCCCCAGGGUUAUCUAAUCCCUUUGGAAAUAUUAAAGAACAAGUAUAAUUAAAGAAACAAUAACUCACUUCAUAAUAAAUAAAAAUCGUUCAAUGCACAAGCACAACAAGGUAUUUAAUCUAUACUUUAAAUGAGAAUAUUCCCAUAAACAAGAUUUAAAUGCUGGGAAAAAUAAUACACACUUAGAUAUUCAAUACAAAGCAAGGAAAUGAAGAAUUUAAUAUAAAUGGGUAAGAAAUUCUCAACCAAAAGCUUCAAAUUUUCAAGACCCAAGUGUGUGUGCAAGAACCCUAGCUUAAAAAACUGACAAAAGCUGCCCAAGAUGCCAAAGAUAUUUUACAAAUUAGCUAGGACGUGUAUUAAAGGGUUUGGGAUGAAGAAAAUAUGAUAUGACAGAAGUGCCCAAAACUGAAGCACGACAUUCGCAAUUGCGAACCUUGACAUCAUUGUUGAACAUUGCAUUUGCGAUCUGUAUGUUCGCAAUUGCGAACUAGGCACUGUGCACUUAGUUUUGCAUUUGCGAUGAAGGGCUUCGCAUUUGCGAAAGUUGACUGUCUGGUUUGACUUCGCAUUUGUGACCCUCAUUUCGCAUUUGCGAACAAUGACUGGAAUGGUUGACUUCACAUUUGCCAAGUUGAUGUCGCAAUUGCGACAUCUGAGCCUAUUUUCCAGAUUUCUUCUUUUUAACAUAAUUUUUACUCAUUUUCACUUGGUUUCUUCAUAAUCAAUUCUAAAUCACACAGAACCUACAAAAUAGAAGUAAACGACAAUAAACACACGAUUGUAUCACUCAAACAUAGCAAAAAUGUAAGCUUAAAGACUAGAUAAGUUGGUAAAAUACCAACUUAUCAGUGAUCAUGAGCCCCUGCUACGUGAUCGCAAAGCACUGCCAAACAACAGCUGAUCAGCUGCUACAAAACCAAGGGAAAUGGUCUAAAACCAUUCCGAAACUCACCCGAGGCCCCAAGUACCUGUCCAAUCAUUCUAACAAGUCCAUAUAUUUCGUACAAACUUCUCCCAAGGCUCAAAACAUAAAAAAUAACAAUAAAAUCAAGAACUGAAGAUUUAAUCCAUUCCUUAAUUUUCAAACUUUCCAACCUCACCAAACGCGUCUGAAUCAUACUUAGACAUUCCGGAUCACAACCAAACAUUUCACACAAGUUCAUUUAAACGAUUAGGACCUAUGCAAGGUCUCAAAACCACAAUCAAAGCUCAUUAACCCAAAAGUCAACUAUUUGUCAAACUCCUGAACUCUCUAAUUCAUCAAAUUACUAACUUUUGACAAAUAGAGUCAAAAUCCUCUAGGAACAUUCAAAGCCAAAUCCGAACAUAUGCCCACGUCCAAAAUCCAUACAAACCUAUAGGAAUACUCAUAUCCCGAUUUCGAGGUCAUUUAUUCAAACAUUAACCCUUGGAAAACUCUUACAACAUAAGCUUCAAAAAUGGAACUAAUCGUUUUAAAUCACACUCAAACCAUCCUAGAACCAAAUCAACCAUCCUUGCAAGUCACAAAACAUAAAAAGAACUUAUGGUAAAUAUCAAAUAGGGAAAGAAGGCUCUAAUACUCAAAAUGACCAGCCGAAUUGUUACAUUCUCCCAUCUUAAACAAGCAUUCAUCCUUAAUCGGGAUUACAAUCAUGCCAGAACUGCCAAAAAGAUGAGGAUAUCUAUUCUGCGUAUCAUGCUCGGUCUCCCAAGUCGCUUUCUCGAUCGAUUGACCUCUCUAUUAGACCUUCACUGAUGCAAUCUCAUUCGAUCGCAACUAUUGAACCUUCCAAUCUAGAAUGGAUACUGGCUCUUCUUCAUAAGAGAGAUUCUCAUCCAACUGCACUGAACUGAAAUCCAACACAUGCGACAAGUCUUGAUGAUAUUUCCCAAGCAUGGAAUCAUGAAUAUCGAAUGAAUUCCUAACAAACUGGGUGGCAAAGAAAGCUUGUAAGCCACCUCACCAACUAUCUCAAAAACCUCAGUUGGGCCAAUAUACCUAGGGCUCAACUUGCCCCUCUUCCUAACCCACAUCACGCCUUUCAUAGGCAAAAGACUAAGAAGAACCUCUUCACCUUCCAUGAAAUCCACAUCAUAAACCCGCUUAUCAGUAUAACUUUUCUUACUGGACUGAGCUGUGCAUAGUUGCUCCUUAAUCAACUUCACCUUCUGCAAAGAAUCAUAAACCAAAGUAGUACCCAAAAACCUAGCCUCACUAGGCUCAAUAAUAAUAGGUGAACGACAUCGUCUACCAUAUAAAACCUCAUAUGCAGCCAUCUGAAUACUAUACUAGUAGUUGUUAUUAUAAGUAAAAUCCACAAAUGGUGGGAAAUGAUCACAUUGCCUCCAAAAUCAAUAACACAUGAUCUCAACAUAUCCUCCAUAAUCUGAAUAGUCCGUGUAGACUGACAAUCCGUCUGUGUGUGAUAUGUCAUGCUAAGCUCCACCUCUGCAUCCAACAUUCACUGAACAACUCUCCAAAAGUGCGAUUUGAACUGAGUACCCCGAUCCGAAAUGGUAAAAAUAAUGCACACCAUGCAAACAGUCAAUCUCUCAGAUGUAGUAUGAGCCAACUUCUCUGAAGUGUAAGAAGUCAUCACCAUAAUGAAAGGCACAAACUUUGUCAAUCUGUCAACAAUGACCCAAAUGUAAUAAAACUUCCUCAAGGUCUGUGGCCAUCUUACCACAAAGUCCAUAGUGAUGCACUCCUACAUCCACUACGGUAUAUCUAUCUUCUAAAUUAACCCGCCUGAUUUCUAAUACUCAAACUUGACCUGCUAACAGUUUAAACAUCGCAAGACAUGUAUAGUAAUGUCCAUCUUCAUCAUUCGCCACCAAAAAUGCUGCCUCAAAUCAUGAUACAUCUCUGCAGCACCUGAAGGAUUAAAUACCGCAAACUGUAAGCCUAUUCAAGAAUCAACUCCUUCAUUUCAUUUACAUUAGGAACACAAAUUUGACCCUAAAGUCGCAAUACACCAUCAUCUCCAAUGACCGCCUCAUUAGCACCACCUCCGAACACCGUGUCAUUAAGGACAAGUAAAUGGGGAUCAUAAUACUGACGAGCCUUGAUCCUCUCAAAUAUGGAUGGCUGUGAAAAAACACAAGCAAGAACUUUGUUAGGCUCGGAAAAUAAUAAAUCUCAUAAAUCUAUUAACCAAGGCCUGAACAUCCAUAGCAAAAGGCCUCUCCUCAGCUAGAAUAAAUGACAAAACUACCCAUGCUCUAUGCCUUUCUACUCAAGGAAUCUGCUACCAUAUUCGCCUUAUCCCAGAUGAUACAAGAUAAUGAUAUCAUAAUUCGUAAGAGACUUAAGUCACUUCCACCACCUCAAACUAAAAUCCUUCUACUAGAACAAGUGCUAAAGAUUUCGAUGAUAAGUAUAAACCCCGCAUGACACACCAUACAAGUAAUGCCUCUAAAUCGUAAGCGCAUGCAUAAUAACUGCUAAUUCCAAAUCAUAAGCUGGAUAAUUAGUCUUAGAGGGAUUUAACUAUGGUGAUGCAUAAGUAAUCACCCUACCAUCCUGCAUCAACAUUGCACCAAGGCAAAUGCAUGAAGCAUCAGAAUAUACCGUGUAUGCCCUUGAACCUAUGGGCAACACAAAUACUAAGGUUGUAGUCAAAAUAGUCUUGAGCUUCUGAAAGCUCUCCAAACACUCAUUAGACCAUCUAAGAGGAACACAUUUCUAAGUUAACUUGAUCAAUGGGGUAAAACUAGAUGAAAACCCCUCUACAAAACGACGAUAGUAGCCUGCCAAACCCAAGAAACCUCUAAUCUCUAUAACUAUAGAAUGUCUAUGACAUUACUCUUAAAAAUAUCCUCCUCUCGAAGCCUAUGGAUCAAAAUAUGAAAGAAUGGGCAAAGUCUCGAAAUUCCAACUUAUAAAGUCUACCCAGGUACAACUCUUUGUGAUCGCGACAGUACCCUCAUGAUUGAAAUACCAAAUAGCCUCUAGCUCAAGCUAUACUCCUCGAACAUGAAGCCUUCCAUGAGAACGCGUUGACCAAGUUCUCCAAAGACUAAAUGAGCACGAGACUCCCUACGUGAACACCAAAGAUAAACCUCUUCCUAACUCCACAUCUCUGUGAAUGUGAUCGCCCUAACAUGAAUGCAAAGCACCAAUCCAUACCCCUACAUGAAUGCGAUCCCCUAACUGCAAACACAAUGAAAAAAAUUUGUUCGGCCAAAAUCCUUCUGCAUGAUCACAAAGCACUGCAAUACACCAGCCCAUCAAAUGCUUCAAACUCAACCAAAUUGGCCCAAAAACCACCCUCACUAGACACAUGAGCCCCCGAGACCCUAUCCAAUAUUACCAAUAAGUCCAAAUACCUUAUUCUAAUGAUCUAGCAGGUCGUUUUAUAUAUUUUAGCCCAUGUUUCCUCUAUGAUGCUCCCCAAAUGUUGUUUUUUUUUUUGGCUUGCAGGGACGGUUAGUUUGGUUUCGGGAAUGUCUUAGAGUGAAUUGAGGCACUUAGUCUCAUUUUGAAAGCUUAAAUUGUAAGAGUUGACCAAGGUUUGACUUUUGUGUAAACAACCUCGAACUGGUAUUUUGAUGGUUCCAAUAGGUUUGUAUGGUAAUUUGACUUAGACUUAUGUUCAUAUUGGGAUUUGAAGGUUCCUAGAAUGUUAUUUUUCUGAAAUUUGAAAAUUUAAAAGUUUCGAGAGGUCCUAAGUUUUAUUCGGAGUUGGCUUUGAUGAUAUCAGACUCAGAUUGUUAUUUUGGAACUUGGAAUAGGUUUAUUUUUUCAAUUUGGAACUUUUGUACAAAGUCUGAAUGUAUUCCAAAUUAGUUAGGCUUGAAUCGGAGGCUUGGUUAUAAGUUGGAAUGUUUGAAACUUAAGAGAAGGAUUAAGAUCAUCAAUUCUUGUUUUUAUGUUAUUUGUGAUGUUUUGAGCCCUUGGAUAGAUUUGUAUUAGGUAUACGGACUUUCUGGUAUGUGUGGACGGGGUUCCGAGGGGGUCAGAUGUUUUUUGCGGUGGUUUCCGACCAUUUCCCUUUCAUUUAUAGCUGUUGAUUUUGUUGGUGUCUAUGUUCAUCGCAUUCAUGAGACGAGCCUCACGUUUGUGAUGCAAGAUUUGGUGUUGGGGAGGAUUCCCAACAUUUGCACCUAGGUGUCCGUGUUCGUGAAAGGUUGUUGUGGUUCUUUGAGUUCGCGCCAGUAGAGUCGCGUUCACUGUGCAUAGAGGGAGCUGGGGGCACAGAACUUCGCAUUCGUGAGGUGAUGGUCGAGUUCGCAGAAGGCUGGGUUAUUUGGACUUCGUGUUUGAGAUGUAUUUGUUACGUUCGUGGAGUGCAUUUUGAGGCUUUGGUUGUUUGUGCUUCGCGAAUGCGAGGCAAUGACCGCAUUUGAAGGGUAUCGCUGGGCAGAACACUUUAGUGUUAUAUUCCGUGACUUAGUCCAUUCUAUCAUAUUUUGAACCCUACACGUGGAGAGGGGUGAUUGUUUGAAGUAGAUCUUCACACGAGGCAAGAGUGUAAGUGAUUUCUACUUGAUUUUUAUAAUAUAUCUUGUUUUCUCAUGGAUUAUUACAUAUAGAUUAUGGAAUUUAAAAGAGAAAUUUGGAGUUUUUGACUGUAAUUUUAGAGUGUAAAUUGGGGAUUUGGGAGUCGAUUUGGACUCUAUUUUGGAAUCUAAUCGCAUAUAUGGACUCGUGAGGUUAUGGUAAGUGGGGAUCUACCCUCUAACUCUGGUUUUGACUGUGUGGGCUUGGGUUGACUUUUGGAGAUUUGAUUGAAGAUUCGAACUUUAUUGUUUGGAAUUGAUAUUUAUGGCUUUGUUUGAUGUUAUUGGGUUGUAUUAGACAAGAUUCGAGUCUUUUAAAGAUGGAUUUCAAUGAUUUGGCGAGUUUUGUUUGAAUUAUAGCUACUUCUCCUGGCUAACCUUGGAAAGAGGGAAAUCACCUUAGGAUUGACUUUAUUACUAUGUGAUUAAGGUAUCUAGGGUGGUGUAUAUGUGGGUUGGCGAGCGCAUAUGCACGUACCAAGUUUAUAUUAUGUAUGGGGUAGAUUUGAGUUAUUUUAUGCUUUGUUUUGAUUAUGUGCUCAUCUUGGUUCAUGAUUUGUUUGGCCUUUAUGACUACAUUUCUCUUUUAUUCAUUCGAGAGAUCAUGCCUAGGUUUAUGAUUAUUUAUGAAGGCAUGGGAGUUUAUUCUCGAUAUGUUAAAUUGUUUGAAUCAUCCAUAGUUAUAUAGAAAUUUCCAUGAGCACAUAUCCAUAUGAUUAUUAGGUCCAUGUGCAUCUUUUAUCUCUAACUCUUGGACAUAUGCAUGCGUAUUAUAUUGGAUACUUGAUUUGGACUAAGAUUGUGGCAUGAGAGGUAAGGUCGUGUAGAUAAAUACAAUUAUGGCACACAAGACGGGAUGAAUGGAUAUUUGAUUAUGAGUGAGCUAUCAAGCUCCUUUUUGCGCUUGGAUAAGGAUCCAUCCCUCCGGAGUCAGGUGAUAACCCAUGAUACUUUGGGCCAUGUGAUCAUGGUCGAUACAUGGAUCGUGUAUCGGGUCGAUGCAUGGAUUUUGUAUUAGGUUUCAGUGAUACAUGGAUUUCGUAUCGGGUUUGGCGAUACAUGUAUUGUGUAUCGUGGUACAAGGAUUUUGUACCAGUUAUGGUGGUUGUUAGAGUCUUGAGCAUGCAUAGACAUCCCUGACGCAUUUAGAAGUAUUCAUUUAAAUGAUAACUGUCGCAUUUCACCUAUAUGUGCUAGUUGGGAGCCUCGUCUUUGUUGAUUUAAAGCAUUCCAUCAUUAAAUGUCGCAUUUGAGUAGCAUUAUGAUAUCUCUUGAAUUGGAAAAGCAUUCCUUAUGCUUUUCGAUUGUUUUACAUCUUUGAUUCCUGUUGUUCAUGAGAUGAUUUACUAUUUCAGUUCUAAAACUUUGUUAUAUAUAUUUGUGUUGCAAGUAUCAUGAUGCAUGUAGCUUCUCCAGUACUUCUUCGAGGUCAGACUUGAUACUUCCUCGGGUGGGUUCUAGCGGAGCCUCUAAAUGAUCCUAGGCAAUCGCGCAUAGACUUAGGGUGAUCACGACUUAGGGUCGUGCAAGUCCUUGUCUUUUAUUAGUUCCUGUCUAUUUUUUUAUCUCAAACAGUGUUGAUCAUGUAUUCAGAUAUGUACUUAUUCAGUAGUAGCUCAUGUACUUGUAUCACCCAGUCUUUGGGGGUUGUACUAUUUUGGUUGUGCUGAGCCCAUGGUAUGAUUGUAUCAGAUAUUAUGAUGUUCCAAGACUAUUUUUGUUUUUAUUUAUGUUAUGACUCAACUAAUUAAAGAAUCUUGACUAUUUUGUAUUGACUGUCACUUGGCUUGCUUAGCAAGUACGGCUAUGCGCCAUCACGACCUAAGGUGUGAUUUUCGGUCAUGACAAGUUAGUAUCAGAGUACUAGGUUGCUUAGGUCUCACGAGUCACGAGCAAGCCUAUUAGAAUUUUGUCAAUCGGUAAGGAGAUGUCCAUACGUAUCUUCAAGAGGCUACAUGGUUGUAAGGAAAACUUCUCUUUCUUUCACUGUCUAUCAUGUGGAAUUGUUUAUGUCAAAGUUUGAAUAUUUUCCUUUCUAUUCUCUCAUAGAUAUUGAGGACAUAAUCAUUUGGUACAGUUGAGCAAGCGCCGAUACCCUAGGCUAAGGCUGCGGGAGGCCGAGGUCGAGGCAGAUUUAGGGGUGGAGCAUGCGCCGUAGUUAGGGGCCCUGCUCGAGCAGCCAUAGUGGAUCCACUAGUAGCUCCCAUUGAGGAUCAAAUUUCGGAUUAUGUUGAGCUAGUUGGACUAGCUCAUGUCCUAGAGCGGUUUAUGUUACAUCCGGUACUUUUGUACAUUGGAUUUUUCGUAGGUUAAUUGGCAUAGGUUCAAGGACAAGACUAUUUUUGAGGUUAUAAGUAUUUAUGCUAUUUAUAAUAAGUGAUAAGUCGUGAAGGUUAGAGGGUAAAUGAAUAAAAGAAAAUGAGUUUCGUCGAAGUUUGUCAUUUUGGGAUGAAAAAAUGGUCCAAGCUAAAAUACCCCGUAUUUAUGGACUAGUGCAAUACAAUAUACCAUGUGACCAUGAUAGUAAGGUAUAUAAAGUAUGUUAAAAGUGAUUAGUAUUUAAAUGAAAUGAGAUUUAGAAAUUAAUUGUGUGUGUAAUUAGGUAAGUGGGAAAUUGUAGUGGAAGACUAAUUAAAUUGAAUUAUUUAAUAAUUGGUGUAGUGGAUAACAUUCCACAUGUCACAUGGCGGCAGCAACAUUAGUGACUAAUCUACACCCAUAAGUGUUGUUGGCACUAUUAAACUCAAUGUCUCAAGAGAAGCUAAGGAGGACAUGUAUAAAUGGAAAUAUUACAAUUAUGUCUCUUGUUUCACUUGAUUUGAGAAUGAAAUUGAAGAAUAGAUAGGUUCAACAUAGUGUAGCAGCAAAGAACGUUAAUUUGAGAUGAUUUUCUGCAACAUGAGCUAAAAAUUUCAUGAAAGCAAAGUGUAAUCUUUCUCAAAGACAAUAUACGGGUUUUGUGCACCGCCUCGAUCUCGUUGUUCCGUUUUGGCGCGUUGGUUAAUUUGGGCUUUCUUUGAUGUGAAGUAAAGUGGAAUAAGAGUAUUUCCUGGCAAAUAUGGUAAGAAUUUUCCUCUUCUUAGUAUAUAUAAAUUCAUCUAGGUCAUGGCUAAAUUGUGGGAUGAGAAUUAUGGAGUUAAUAGCGAGAAAUCAUAUUCUGACGUUGUUAUUGUAUCGACUAUUCGGUAAUUUUAUAAGUUGUAUUGUUGCUGAAAAUUGUGGGAGUAACUUGAGUAUAUAGUUGUGUAGUCAUUGAUAUGUGUUUUGUAGGAAAGAAAAGAUUGGAGAAGUAUGGCUGAUAAUCGUAGCUGAGCUUUUCGCUCGUUGUAUUAUUGUUUGGGUUGUAAAACUUGAUAUAGGUGUUGUUGGUUGUGUUGUUAUAUUACCUAGCCUAUGGUAGGCUUGAGGGAAUGAUACGAACAAGGAAAAUACAGUCCAUUUCAUUGUAGUAUAGGUUAUCUUCCGUUAUGCAAUUAAGAGAAUUGUUCAUAUUAUUGACAAUAGUAUUAUUCUUGAAGUGGAUAUGAGUUGAGCUCUUGAACCAGUGGGUUAAGACAAGGUAUGUUAAGGCUAAUCCUUCCUUCUUUUGGCAUGAUCCUAGUAAUGAUACGUAAAUGUAAUGUUAUUCUAUAAAUGGUUCUACUCUUAGUAGUUAAGGAUGUCUACGUUAUUCAUUCUUGUAAAAUGUAUUUUAAAGCAUGUCUAAGUAUGUUCCUAAGUCCCUAUUGAGGCAUACGAUAAAGAUGUUAAUGUUCAAAAUGUAGUGUUAUAUGGAUCUUCAUUUACCAUCAUGCUACGGCCGGUCAAGCAGUCAUGCAUUUACCACCGAGCUACGGCCGGUCGGGCAGUCAUGCAUUUACCAUCGAGCUACGGCCAGUUGGGCAGUCAUACAUUUACCACCGUGCUACGGCCAGUCAGGCAGUCAUGCAUUUACCACUGAGCCUUGGCCGGUUGGGAAUUUAUGCAUUUACCACCGUGCUACGGCCGGUCGGGCAGUCAUGCAUUUACCACCGUACUACGGCCGGUCGGGCAGUUACCACCAAUUGGGAAGUUAUAAUUUACCACCGAGCUACGGCCGGUCGGGAAGUUACCACUGAUAAGUUGGGCAGUCAUGUUACGAUAUGGAAUAUAGUCCCAAAGAGAGGCAUUAUAUAUAUAAGUAUAAUUAGUAUGCAUAUACGAUGGCACUUUAAAGGUUCAGGUUGAUUCUUAUAUCUCUUUCAUUAAUGUUGACUUAUUGUUAUUUUUCAAGUUUGCCUUACAUACUCGGUACAUUAUUCGUACUGACGUCCUUUUUGUUGUAGACGUUGCAUUCAUGCCUGCAGGUGCAGGAAAUCAGUUUAACGAGCCUUCAUAGUAGACGAGGUUAUCAUUCAGUGAAAGACCGGUAAGACUCCACUUCAUUCGGAGUGCAGCCGAGUCUAUAAGUCAUCAUGUCAGAGUUUUACUGCAGACUUAUGGGUAGGUCAGGGCCCUGUCCCGUUUGAUGUCAAAUACACUUAGAGGAUUUGUAGACUUUGGUUCAUUAUGUACGUAGGCCUUCACGUCCCGUGUGUAUUCAUGGUUUAAGUACGAUGGUUAGCUGAUACAGUGUUUGCCCACUUACAAUUAUGCAUUACGAGUUGGGGCCAUGUUGGCCCAUGAUGGUUAUAGAAAGAAUGAGUUAACCCAACAUGACCUAUGUAUGUUCUUGUUUUGGUCGAACGAUCAUGGGUUACAGAGUGGUUCGCUCGGGAAAGUAAGGCACCAGGUGCCGGUUUAUUACUACACCAGUACUUCAGGAUGCUCUUAUUAGUCUGGUUGAACUAAUAGAGGGUUUGACACAUGCUUGGGUACUUCCUGUGGCACCAGCUACUUAUCAGGCCGGGGAGUAGCACAGACCCUGCUACUCACACUCCACAUUAGGUUGUUGCUGUGUAUCAAACAUCAAAAGUAGUACUGAUUGGGGGACACCCUCUUGUGGUUUCUAUUAGGCUAGCAAUAGAGCCUGUUAUGACUAAGGAGGAGCAUAAGAUGUUUGAUCGUUGCACGGAGAUGGGUCCUCCACAGUUUGAUGGUGAUCCUUUGGUAGAUGCACAUAAUUUCUAAGAUGGUGGAGAUUCUGCAGAAUCUAUGCUUGGUUGAGUCGAAUAGGGUCAAUUUCACAACUUUUUAGCUCAAAAGGCCAGCCAAGAGGCUAUGGCAGUCAUAUGAGCGUAGCAGCCUAGCAGGGUCACUUCCACUCAGUUGGGAUCAGUUUUCAAAUCUCUUCUUAGAGAAAUUCAUUUACCUCAUAAAGAAGGAUGUGAUGGAUGGUCAGUUUGAGCACCAUCAGCAAGGUCGCAUGUCUAGGAUAGUGUAUGAUAUGAGAUUCACUAAUUUAUCACAUCAUGCAGCUUUUUUGAUCCCUAUCGAGGUUAAGAAUGUGAGGAGGUUCAUUGAGGUAUUGAAUUUUUGUAUCAAGAUCUUUAUGGCUAGGGAGGUGGAUACCGAUACUACAUUUGUUCAGGCUGUGGAUAUAGCACGCAGGAUUGAGCGCAUUCAAGGUCAAAGCAUGGAGGCCAUGGUCAUUAGGGGCAAGAGGGCCCUACAUUCUGGCAGUUUCAGUGGUACGUCGUCUGGAGGUAGGGAUCAUACUAGGAGAGGCCAUUCUAACAGGCCAGAUCCUUUAGCUUAUUAGCCCACUUGUGGCGCUCCAGUUCAGUUUUAGUUCACUGCAUUACCAGCGCAGAGUUUGUGGUGCUCCAAUUCAAUUUUGGUUCACUACAUUACUAGUGCAGAGUUCCUACCAUACUCCUUCGGUCCAGGGUUCUUCUAGUGAGUACUCAGGUUACUGGAGGCAACCUCAUAUUCAGCAGCCAUUCUCAACUCGAGGUUGUUUUGAGUGUGGAGAGGUGGGGCAUAUCAAGAAAGAUUACCCCGUGCAUGGUAGAUGUGCAGCACAACAAGGUUCUAGGACCGUUACUCCAGUACGAGUUAUUACACCAUCAGCCCUACCAGCUAGAGGGGGAGCCCAGGAACCAAGAGGUGGAGGUAGUCGGGUGUUGGUCAUGCCCGCUGUUAUACAAUUCCGGGUAGACCCAAAGUGGAGGGUUCUAAUGCAGUUAUUACAGGUAUUGCUUUAAUCUGUCAUAUAUAUGCAUCAGUUCUAUUUGAUCCUGGUUUUAUAUAUUCCCAUGUGAAAUCAUACUUUGUAUCGCAUUUGGAAUUGCCCCAUAGUUCUCUCGAUAUCCUUGUUCAUGUAUCUAUACCUCUUGCUGACUCUAUUGUGGUGGAUCGAGUGUAUCGGUCUUAUGUGGUUACCAUCAGGGGUUUUGAGACUAGUGUCAAUCUUCUAUUUCUUUCUAUGGUGGACUUUUGUGUGAUUUUAGGUGUGGAUUCAUUUUCUCCAUAUCAUGUUAUUUGUGAUCGUCACACUAAGACCGUGACAUUGGUUAUACCGGGCUUGCCAAGCUUGGAAUGGAGAGGUUCUCUUUGUCAUACUUCUAGUAGAAUAAUUUGAAUUCCGAUGGCUCGGCAGAUGGUUGAGAAGGGUUGUUUGGCAUAUCUGGCCUUUGUUAGGGAUGUUAGUGUUGAUACUCCUAUCAUUGAGUCAGUUUCAGUAGUGAAGGACUUUUCGAAUGUAUUUCCUGCAUAGCCAUCGGGCAUACUACCCGAUAGGGAUACUGAUUUUGGUAUUGAUUUUGUGUCGGGCACUCAGCGCAUAUCUACUCCAUUAUAUCGCAUGGCUCUAGCUAAGUUUAAGGAAUUGAAAAAACAAUUUCAAGUGUUAUUGGAUAAGGGGUUCAUCAAGCCUAGUGUGUCACCUUGGGGUGCACCGGUGUUGUUUGUUAAGAAGAAGAAUGGUUUUAUGAGGAUGUGUAUUGACUAUAGGCAGUUGAAUAAGAUGACCGUCAAUAACAAGUAUCCACUAUUGAUGACUUAUUUGGUCAUCUUCAAGGUGCUAGGGUGUUCUCAAAGAUUGACUUGAGAUCGAGGUACCAUCAGUUCAAGAUCAAGGCUUCGUACAUACCUGAGAUGGCUUUCAUGGCUCGUAAUAGGAAUUAUGAGUUUUUUGUGAUAUCCUUUAGUUGACUAAUGCAUGAGCAACUUUCAUGCAUUUGAUGAACAAUUGCUGUAGUGUUGAAGAGCACGAGCAAAAUUUGAGUAUUAUGCUCCAGAUUCUUAGGAAGAAGAAAUUAUAUGCUAAAUUUUGCAAGUGUGAGGUUUGGUUGGACUCGGUGGCAUUAUAUGCUAAAUUAUGUGAAGAAGAUUGAGGCAGUUCAGAGUUGGCCCAGACCUUCCACCGCUACUGAGAUCUUGAGUUUCUUAGGUUUGGGUGGUUACUAUCGUCUCUUUGUGGAAGGGUUCACAUCUAUUUUAGAUCCAUUAACAAAGUUGACCUAGAAGGGUGCUUUAUUCAGAUGGUCCAAUGAGUGUGAGGAGAGCUUUUAGAAGCUCAAGACUACUUUGACUAUACGGCUCAUGUUUUGGUAUUACCUUCUGGAUCGAGGAUGUACACCAUUUAUCAUGAUGCUUCACGUCUUUGUCUUGGUUGUGUGUUGUUGCAAUAUGAUAAGGUGAUUACCUAUGUGUCGCUCACUAGUUGAAACCUCAUGAGAAAAACUAUCCAGUGCAUGAUUUGGAGUUAGCAUCUAUUCUGCACGCGCAUAUGAUUUGGAGGCAUUACCUGUAUGGUGUGUCUUGUGAGGUUUACACUGAUCAUCAGAGUCUUCACCAUUUGUUCAAGCAAAAGGAUUUGAAUUUGAGGUAGAAGAGGUGGUUGGAUUUGUUGAAGGAUUAUGAUAUCAUUAUCAUGUAUCAUCGGGGGAAGGCUAAUAUGGUAGCAAAUGCCUUGAGCAGAAAGGCGGAGAGUAUGAAGAGUUUUGCAUUUAUCCCAGUUGUAAAGAGACAUUUAUUCCAGCUGUAGAGAGACAUUUGGCUAUGAAUGUUUAGGCUUUGGCUAGUAGAUUCAUUAAAUUGUAUAUUUCUAUGCCUACCAAAGUCAUUGCCUAUGUUGUUUCACAGUCGUCCUUGUUUUAGCGCAUUAAGGCUCGCCAGUAUGAUGAUGCCCAUUUGCUUUUCCUUAAGGAUAUGGUGCGGUGAGGUGGUUCUAAGGAGGUGAGUAUUGGUGUUUGUGUAUUGCGACUUCAGGGUCGAGUGUGUGUUCCCAGUGUCGAUAUCUUGAGAGAGUUGAUUCUUGAGAAGGCUCAUAGGUCACGGUAUUAUAUUCACCCAAGUUCUACGAAGAUGUAUCGUGACUUGAAGAAACAUUAUUGGUUGCGGAGGCUAAAGAAGGAUAUUGUUUGGCAUGUGUCGCGGUGUCUGAAUUGCCAACUAGUCUAGUAGCCAGAUGGCUCUAAAUUAGGAAUUAUAUAGGAGGUGGUGUCGUUCUUCGAUUGGGUGGUUUGAGCCAGGUGAGGCUAGGUUGUUGGGAAUAUAUUUGGUUCAUGAUGCUUUGUAGAAGGUGAAGUUGAUUCAAGAGUGACUUCGUUCACCGCAGUCCAGGAAGAAAAGUUAUGCUGAUAAGAAGGUUCGUGAUGUGGCUUUCAUGGAGGUUGACAGGGUUUUUCUUGUACUUUCUCCUAUGAUAGGUGUGAUGAGAUUUGGGAAGAAGAGCAAGUUGAUCCCUUGGUAUAUUGGUCAUAUUGAGGUGUUAGAGAGGGUUGGUGAGGUGGCCUAUAGAGAUUCCUUACCACCUAGCUUGUCGGGUGUUCAUCGGGUGUUUCAUGUUUCCAUGCUUCGGUAGUAUCACGGGGAUCUGUUACAUAUGAUAAAUUUUAGUUCGAUGCAGUUGGAUGAGAAUUUAGCUUAUGAAGAAGAACCAAUGGCCAUUUUGGAUAGGUAGCUUCGGAGUCGGUAGAAGUUUUGGAAGGUUGUAGUAAUCUAAGGAAAGCAUCACUGAGGUAUGUUCGCUAAACUUCUCUUGUAUAUCCGAAUUCCAUGAUGUUCUCAUAAGUUUCAAGUGUGAUUGGCCCAGGUUCUUAUUUCUCAUGUUACGAGUCAUUCCUAAUAAAUUCCAUUAUUCCAAAUAAGCUGUGUUGAAAUAUGUAUACCCAACAUGUGUUCCAAUUACCCCUGUCAUAUUAUGUUCUUCUUUGGGAAUGUAUUCAAGUAUGACCAAUGUAUCAAAAUGUCAUUAUUUAAAAUCAUGUUUCAAUUGCAAGUUUAUUAUGCCUGAUUUUGGAAGAAAAACUCAAUGUGCUAAGACUCAUAUUGCUCAUAUACAUAAUUAGAGUCUUGAUUUCAACACUUAUUGUUGAUGACCUAUGAUGAUUCUUGAAAGUGAAAGAAGAGAGUAUGAAAUAUAAAAUGUGGCCAUCGUGCCAAGAAUGAAAACUACACUUGUAGCCAAUUGUGCCAAUGAAAUGAAAGGAUGUAUGAAAGAUUAUGAAAUCAGUUUUAACUCCUUUAUAUAAUAAAUGUGUUGGGAGUAUCGUUAGUCACCAAGGAAGGGUAGGUUGAAAUAAUCUAACCCCAAACUUACACGUGUCGGUGUAGGAGUGAUUGAGGGGUAAAUCCCCGUAUUGAUGUGUUGAGAUUAUUCCCCUUAAAUGGGAUGAGAUUGAUGUGUUGAGAUUAUUCCCCUUAACUGGGAUGAGAUGAUUGCUAGCGAAAACUGUGAUGUCGACCCACACGGCAUUGUGGUGAGACAGCUUAGCCGAUCGGGCCAAAAUCGGAUGCCAAGUCGCGCUCAUGUUGGUGUGGUGAUUGGAUAUCGUUCGGUGAGACGGCUUAGCCAAUCGGGCAGAUAUCGGACUCCAUUAUAAAAGCAUGGUAGUGUAUCGGUACUAAAUAUCUCCCAACCUAAAAAUAUUGAUAUUUACUUGAAAACGUAUCUUUCUCUUAACUUGAAGCUUUAAUCUUGUUUGAGGCUCUCAUUGAUUCCAUGUUUCUUACUCCUUGUACUGUUGCUCAUUUCAUUGAGAGGGUUUUUAGUCUUACAUACUAGUACUACUCCAUGUUUCUGGCACCAUCAUAUUACUCUUUUGUAUCCAUUAAAGGCUCUGUAGACAUAGUGUGGGUUGUAUUUUGAUUUGGGUAAGUCAGACUUAAAAUGUUGUACUUGUAACACAUGUAUCCACUUCUAAAACUACGAAUGUGUAAUAUAUUUUGGGAGUUUGUAAUAAAGUAACAAAUGGUAACAAAAUUUGUGUCUUACAUGUCAUCCUCCUAUUGUCUAAUUCAUGAUAUUCACCUUCACUUUAUUCAUGGGUAAAGUCAGGUAGAAGACAUUGAGUAGAUUUGCUUGACUGGGAUAUCUCGAUUGAGCGUCGGUCGCGCUCCCCAAGGUCGGGGCUUGACAAGCUUGGUAUCAGAGCCUAAGGUUUUAAAGUUUCUUAGGAUGUCUCAGAGUUGUGUCUAGUAGAUUCCUUCUUAUCGGUGUGUUGUCGACCACAUCUAUAAUUAGGAGGAUACUUGGGCAUUUAGGAAUGUCACCCUUCUUUGAUGUUCUAGAUCCUGUGAUAGAGCUAAUUGUAAGAUUGUUCCUCUUUUAACUCAUGCACAUUCCUAAUUUCAAGUAUAUGGCACCUAGAAAGAAGGAAAGAAUUGGCCAAAGAGAUGAUGCCACCCCAGGAGUGGCAGUUGAUUCUAUACCUGAUGAAGCGGGUGAGCACCCGAAGGUUGAGGAUAUUCCCCCAACCACAACACUGCUUGCUUCUACUAAUCCAGCUUAGACUGCCCCAAUUCCUAUACAUACUGAGGGUGCAAUGAUUCCUCCACCAACUGAUAUUCAAGUUCCACCUCCACCCUCAACUUCUGGUCCCAGUGUUUCUGGUGGGGACAUUAGGGGAGCCAUACAGAUGUUGGCUCAGAUAGUGGCUUCUAUAACACCCCCGAAAGAAUUUUAAGUGUUUUAAGACCAUUAAGAAGAUUGGCAGGUACUAAUUAUAUUAAUUCGGGUAUGAACAAGAUUAAUAAUAUGAAUUAUAUCAAUUGAUCAUGAUAAUAUAUGUAUGGGGUUCAUUAAGAAUGGUUUAUGGUCUAAGAAGAUCUCCAAGGCUAAGUCAAGUUAGAAAUUAUACGAUGGGGUAAAGUUUCAAGUGAUUUCGCAUAAGACCUAACUUCAAAUGAGCAUAACUCUCACGAUAUGAAGUUUUAUAUUGUUUAUCACCUAUCAAACGAAAGGUCUAUAUGUAUAGUUUCUAAUGCUUCAAACCAUUCGUCAUUUGGAGAUUCCUACAAGACGUUAUGACCUUUUUACAAAAGGGUGACAGAAUAGCUAUGCUAGUCUUGGUAGCCUACGCACCAUAGCAGCAUAGCCUACGCACCAUUGCGUAGGCAAAUCCAGCAACUUACAAUUGAAGGGGAAUGGAAGUCUACCCUGCGUAGCCUUUGUGCAUAGCCUACACAGGAGGCUACCCAGCUUCAAGGGUCAUUUUAAGGAGCUAAAAACAUGGGUUUAGAGAGAAAGUGUGUUAGUUCUUCAUCUUGGAAUGGAUUUCUAGAGAGAAGGAGGAGCUCUUCCACCAUGGAUACACUUCAAGGUAAGUGUUUUUGGCACAGGGAUGAUUAUAUAACAUCAUUUAGUGAUAACACUAACAUAUUAUAGAUCAAAUCCAUAGGAAAUGGGUUGAAGCUUCAAGAACACCAAAAAGAGGAAAAGUGAGAUUCUUCCACCAAGAGGUAAUCCCUUAUCUUGAGAUUCAUAUAUAUGUCAUAUUGGAGUAUGGGUAGAAUGUUUAUGAGUUUUAUUUGAAGUUAUAAUGGGAUAUUGUAUGAACACUAAGGGUGGGUCUUGAGAAUGCCAUUUUUGGGUAAAGAAGAAGAUGAAUAGUGAUGAAUUGAUAUAAAUACAUAUGUCUUGAGUUUCUAAUGAUUCCAAUAGACUUGAUAACUUAAUUGAUGAAUGAAUUUAAUUGGGAAUCACCAUUUGGAUAACAUACAACACUAGUUCUUGAAAUGGAUGUUCUUGAACCUAGAGUUUUGUUGAGAAGGAAAUGAAUAGUGACUUGAUGAUGUUGGGUAAUUAACAUAGUAUUAUUAAUGACACCAAAUGAGUAUUAAAUAAUAAGAAUGAAAUUGAAUAGGCUAAUGGAUGAGCCUAAUGGAUAAUUUGGGAUGGUUGAAGGCUUCCUGCCGAAUUGUGAAGCCUAAAUAGAUAUUUAUGAAUCUUUUCGUAUUUAUUUUGAUGUAGUUGGGAUAUCUAAUGGUAGGUAUUGAAUUGUGGGUGAUAUUUGGACAUUUUAAACAAUUGGAUAAUUGUAGUAUUUUCGGAGUUUGAAGGUUGAGAUUGGAAUUGCUAGGAUUUUUGGAUUUAAGGAAAGCUCAAAUCGAGGUAUUUUGGUAAACUCCUCUCUUAGAAUUGAAUCCCACGGUAUUCAUGUAAUUUAUGUAAGUUCCAAAUGGUUCACUAUAAAAAAUUUGGCUAUUCUGAAUCAGUUGUGUUGAAAGAUAUAUGUUCAAUAUGUAUACCAAAUGCUUUUAUCAUGUUAUAUUAUCAUUUGAGAAUGUGUUCAAAGAAUGAGUUGUGCAUUAAAAAUGUUUCGACUUCAAGCCAAGUCCAAAUGAAGGCUAUUAUGCCAAAUCUUGUGAAAUAUCUCUAUGUGCCUUACUCUUAAGUGCUCACAUGUGUACCAAAAAUGUUGAUUUGAAUUGCCUUGUUGUGGAUGAUGUUUGAAAGUGAAAAGGGUGAGCAUGAAAUACUAAAUACGGCCGACGUGCCAAGAAUGAUUUUAUAUUUGUGGCCAUUAGUGCCAAUGAAAAGAAAAGAUGUGAAAGAAGUAUGAAAUGAGAUGAUUGGUAUAAAAAGGAUGAUGUCUCGAGUGAGACGACUUAGUUGAUCGGGUCGUGAUCGGAUGUCAUGCCGCACACAGGGUGGUGAUUGUGCUGGAAAUUAUAAAUUAAAAUUGUGAUUGUGGUUGAUGGCCUAGCCAAUCGGGUCGUUAUCGGACUCCGUGCUAAAAGUACGGUGGUAUUGGUAUUGUGAAUAUUGGUAUCGUGAAAAUGGCAUAUUGGUAUUAAAGAUCUCCCAACUUAAGAUAUGAAAAUUAAUUUGAACACUGUCUUGAUCCUAAUUUGAGGUUUGAUGUUGUUUGUGGCUUCCAGUGAUAUUAUGAUUGUUAUUCCUUGUAUUAUUUAUCAUUCUAUUGAGAGGGUAUUUUGUCAUUCAUACUAGUACUAUUCCAUAUGUACUAACGUCCCUUUUGCCGGGGGCGCUGCAUCUUCAAUGGAUGCAGGUGGUUCCACAGCAGGAGACAUUGAUCAGUGAUAGCAGUACACUCUCUUCCCAACUGACUUGGUGAGCCCCACUUCAUUUCAGAGUCAUGUAUCUUUUGUUCCUUGUGUAUUUUGUUUGAGGUAUAGUCGGGGCCUUGUUGCCGGCAUUAUCAUAGAAUCUUAUGUAUCUAUUAGAGGCUCCGUAGACAAAGUGUGGGUUGUAUAUUGGUGGUGAGGAAGUCAAACCAUGUUAUGUUGUGUUGGAAUUACUUGUUCCACUCUAGACCAUGAAAAUGUGUGUAAUUGGAGACUUUAAAAUGAAGUAACUUAUGGUAAUGAAUUUGUAUUGUAUUUAUAAGUGAGCUUUGGUAGAAAGUGUCGAACAGGCUUGCUUGACCGGGUUCACUCGGUUGAGCAUCGGUCGCGCUCCCCGAGUUCGGGGCGUGACAAAUAUGGUAUCAGAGUCUAAGGUUUUAAAGUGUCAUAGGAUAUCUCGGAGCCGUGUCUAGUAGAGUCCUUCUUAUCGGUGUGUUGCCGACCACAUCUAUAAUGGGGAGGCUACUUGAACAUUUAGGAAUGAUACCCUUCUUUCAUGUUCUUAAUCGUGCAAUAGAGCUGAUUGUAAGAUUGUUCCUCCUUUAUCUCGUGCGUUGCUCUAAUUUUCUGUACAUGGCAUCUAAGAAGGCAAGAACUGGCUAGAGAGCCAAUGUCGCCCCAGGAGUGGCAUUUGAUCCUAUAUUUGAUGAUGCGGUUGAUCACCCAAGGGGUGAGGAUAUUCCCCCAAUUACUACACUGCCUGAUUCUACUACAAUUGAUCAGACUGCACCUGUCCUUACACCUACUGAGGGUGCAACAGUCCCUCCAACUGAUAUUCCAGUUCCACCUCCAGCUCCAGCUUCUGAUUCUAGUGUUUCUGAUGUUGAUCUUAGGGGAGCCAUACAAAUGUUGGCUCAGAUAGUGGCUUCCCAAUCCUAGAGAUCGAAUGUUGCACCCACUUCUUCCAGUCAGCCAGGGGAUUCUACUAGUUCGAGGUUGAACAGGUUUCUUUAGUUAGAUCCUCCAGUUUUCACGGGUACUAACCCAGAGGAGGACCCCCAGGACUUCAUUGAUGAGAUGCACAAAACUCUCUGAGUUAUGUGUGCUACUGAGACAGAGGAAGUGGAGUUAGCCUCAUACUGCCUGAAAGAGGUGGAAUAUUCUUGGUUUGAGCUCUAGGAGGAGUCCCAUGAAGAAGGGAGCCCUCCGGCGAGGUUGGGUGAGUUUGUCGAUGCCUUUAUUGAUCAUUUAUUGCAUGCCGAGACUAAGGCAGUACGUGUCGCUGAGUUUGAGAACCUGAGGCAAGGUAUCCUGAGUGUGUGGGAAUACCAUAUGUGAUUUGCGCACUUGUCCAAGUAUGCUUACAUGUUUCCCACUAUGGAGGCUAGAGUGCACCGGUUUGUGCAGGGCCUAAAUCCAUUAGUAAUUAAUGAGGCCUCUAAUCUACCUUGAAUUCUGAUAUGAACUAUGGGAAGAUGGUGGCAUUUUCUCAAGCAACAGAAACCCGCAAAUUGUAGAACAGGAUGGAGCGAGAGGGUAGCAAUAAGGCCCGGUCUACGGGCAACUUUGGCGGUUCUUUUGGUGGCGGCAGGUCAAUGUUCAGGGGAGGGUCUUCAGGGACAUCUCAGUCCUUAGAAUUCAGAAGCUUCCUUAGAUGUUGUCACAUGUAUAUUGACUGUCUAAUCUCAUAAUGUGUAUGAUCUUACUGAUCCUGGUUCCACUUUGUCAUAUGUCACUCCAUAUGUUGCUAUGGAAUUUGGGAUAGAACCGAAACAGCUUCAUGAGCCAUUCUCUAUAUCUACUCUGGUUGGUGAGUCUAUUUUGGAUGCGCGGGUUUAUUGGGAAUGUGGUGUCACGUUGCUUGGUUGGAACACCAUGGACGAUCUCAUUGAAUUGAGGAUGGUCGAUUUUGAUAUAAUAAUGGGGAUGGACUGGCUUUAUUCAUGUUUUUCCAAGCUUGAUUGCGAACUAGGACCGUUAGGUUCGAAUUUCCAAAUGAGCCAGUUAUUGAGUGGAAGGGGGGUGAUGUGGUGCCAAAGGGUAGGUUUAUUUCUUACCUUAAGGCCACAAAGAUGAUCAACAAAGGGUGUGUUUACCAUUUGGUUUAUGUUACGGACAUCGAUGUUGAGGCACCGAAACAUGAGUUAGUGCCUGUUGUGAAUAAAUUUUCGGGAGUCUUUCUGAAUGAGCUCCCUGGUAUACCACCAGACAGGGACAUUGAUAUUUAGAUUGAUGUGAUGCCAGACACGUAGCCUAUAUCUAUUCCACCCCACAUAAUGACACCGGAAGAAUUGAAGGAACUAAAGGAACAAUUGAAUGAUUUUUUACAAAAGGGUUUUAUCCGGCAGAGUGUGUCGCCUAGGGGCGCACCGGUUCUCUUUGUAAGGAAGAAAGAUGGGUCACUACGAAUGUGUAUCGACUAUCAGCAGCUCAACAAGGUCACAAUCAAUAAUAAGUACCCACUGCCAAGGAUAGAUGAUUUAUUUGACCAAUUGCAGGGUGCUAAGUACUUCUCCAAAAUUGAUUUACGAUCCAGGUAUCACCAAUUAAAAAUCAGGGAGCAGGAUGUUCCGAAAAUAGCUUUUAGAACCCGAUAUGGGAACUUUGAAUUUUUGGUGAUGUCUUUAUGGCUAACGAAUGCCCCGUCGGCAUUCACGGAUCUUAUAAACCGAGUAUUCAAGUAUUUUCUCGACUCUUUAGUGAUAGUGUUUAUUGACGAUAUACUUGUAUAUUCAUGCAAUCGAGAGGACCAUGCCGAUCAUCUCAGGGUAGUUUCGCAAACCCUAUAUCAGCACAAGUUAUAUGCAAAGUUUUCAAAGUAUGAAUUUUGGCUUGAAUCUAUCACAUUCUUGGGUCAUGUCUUCUCUAGUGAAGGAAUUAAGGUUGAUCCUCAGAAAAUAGCAGCUGUGAAGAAUUGGCCGAGGCCUACAACUCUAAUAGAGAUUCGCAGUUUCUUAGUCUUAGCUGGGUAUUACAGAAAGUUUGUGGAGGGGUUCUCUACUCUUGCCUCUUCGUUGACUAAAUUGAUGCAGAAGACGGUUAAUUUCCAAUGGUCAAAUGCUUGUGAAAGGAGCUUUCAGGAGUUGAAAUUGAGAUUGACUAUUGUACCAGUGUUGACCCUACCAGAGGGUACAAAUGGGUUUGUAGUAUAUUGUGAUGCUUCGAGAAUCGGACUUGGGUGUGUAUUAAUGCAACAUGGCAAGGUGAUAGCUUAUGCUUCUAGGCAACUCAAGAAUCAUGAAAAGAACCAUCCAACACAUGAUUUAGAACUUGCGGCGGUGGUGUUUGCAUUGAAAAUUUGGCGUCAUUAUUUAUUUGGUGUCCAUGUGGAUAUAUUCACGGACCAUAAAAGCCUUCAAUAUAUUUUCAAGCAGAAGGAAUUGAAUCUGAGGUAGAGAAUAUGGCUUGAGUUACUCAAGGACUAUGGCAUUGAUAUUAUAUAUCAUCCAGGGAAGGCUAAUGUUGUAGCGGAUUCUCUUAGCCGGAAAUCUAUGGGUAGUUUAGCACACUUGGAGGCAUAUCAAAGGCCAUUGGCCAAGGAAGUUCGCCGAUUGGCUAGUUUGGGAGUUCGUCUUGUGGACUCUAGUGAAGGAGCGAUGAUUGUGCAAAAUAGGGCUGAAUUAUCACUUGUUGUGGAAGUUAAGGAGAAGCAAUACAACGAUCCAUUGUUGGCACAAUUGAAAGAGGGGAUUCAUAAACAUAAAACCAUGGCCUUUUCUCUUGGCAUGGGUGAUGGUACACUAAGGUACCAAGGGUGUCUAUGUGUUCCAAAUGUAGAUGGUCUUCGGGAGAGAAUCAUGACCGAGGCUCACACCUCUAGGUAUUCUGUGUACCCGGGCUCUACAAAAAUGUAUCAUGAUCUUAAGGAAGUCUAUUGGUGUAAUGAUAUGAAGAGGAAUGUAGCGGACUUUGUGGCGAUAAGCCAAAUUGUCAACAAGUGAAGGCCGAAGAUUAAAGACCAUGUGGGUUGGCACAGAANNNNNNNNNNNNNNNNUACCUCGCACUCCUCGUAAGAUUGACUCGAUUUGGGUGAUUGUGGAUCGACUCACGAAAUUAGCGUACUUCUUACCUGUUACGGCUAACGAUAUAACGGAACAGUAUGCUCAGUUGUAUAUCAAGGAAAUCAUCAAACUGCAUGGCACUCCAGUUUCUAUUAUUUCUGAUCGGUGGGCACAGUUCACGACUAAUUUUAGGAAGAAAUUUCAGCAAGGUCUGGGUAGUCAGGUGAAUCUUAGUACAGCCUUUCACCCGCCGACUGACAGGUAGGCAGAGCGGACUAUUCAGAUGCUUGAGGAUAUGUUUCGUGCUUGUGUUCUUAACUUCAAAGGUAGCUGGAAUGAUCAUUUGCCACUCAUAGAAUUUGCCUACAACAAUAUUUAUCAUGCUAGCAUUUAGAUGGAACCGUUCAAGGCUUUAUAUGGUAGGAGAUGUAGAUAUCCCAUUGGGUGGUUCAAAAUUAGGGAAGCAGAGUUGAUAGGGCCAGACCUCGUGCAUCAGGCUAUGGAAAAAAUUAAAAUCAUUAAGGAGCGGUUGAAGACUACACAGAGUCGUCAGAAGUCAUUCGGAUGUUCGUCGUAGGGAUUUGGAGUUCAAGGAAAAUGAUUGGGUAUUAUUGAAGGUUUCCCACAUGAAGGGUGUAAUGACAUUUGGUGAGGAAGGGAAAUUGAUUCUGGGGUAUGUCGGACAGUACAGAAUCAUUCAAAGGAUUGGUGAGGUGGCAUACAAGCUUGAGCUACCACCUAAGAUAUCAUUAGUGCACCCGGUAUUUCAUGUGUCUAUGUUGAAGAAAGCAGUUGGAGACCUGACAUUCAUUGUUCCGGUUGAGACUAUUGAGGUUAAUGAGGAAUUGACUUAUGAAGAGAUUCCAGUUUCUAUUAUUGAUUGGAAAGUUCAAAAGUUGAGAAAUAAAGAAAUUGCCUCCGUGAAAGUGUUAUGGCGAAACCAGCAGGUUGAAGAGGCCACUUGGGAUGCCGAGGAAGAAAUGAAGAAGAAGUACCCUCAUUUAUUUGAAUAGCCAUGUAUUUAUAAAGUUGUGUUCUAUGAAAAUGCUAAGAGUUACCUUUUAUGAAUUAUGUAUCAACUGUAUAGCUGAUGUUAAAGGUGGUCCUUUUUGGUAGUAUACUGCUCGUGAGGCCACAGUUGGCAUUGUUUUAAUGUUAUGUUGUAUCGUUGGUUCAUGUAUAUGUUGUUAGGACUGGUUUUGGUGAUUCUCUGGCAGGUAGUUAGACCCAAUUGCAGAGGACACUCUGCCAAAAUGUCUGAACAAUUUGGGAGUUUGCCAAAUUUUGGGGCCUUGAGGAAGUUGAAAUGUUGGAAGAACAUCUAAGUUCUAUAUGAAGUCAAGAACGAUUAAAGAUGAUGGUUAAGGUGAAAUGAGGAUAAUAUUAUGCCUAAUAAUGACUUGUAAAACAUUCGAGAAUGAAUGUUCUUAAGUGGGUGAGAAUUUAACACCCCGAAAAAUUACGAAAUGUUUUAAGACUAUUAAGAAGAUUGGCAGGUACUAAUUAUAUUAAUUCGGGUAUGAACAGGACUAAUAAUAUGAAUGAUAUUAAUUGAUCAUGAUAAUAUAUGUAUAAGGUGCAUUAAGAAUGGUUUUUGGUCUAAGAAGAGCCCCAAGGCUAAGUCAAGUUGGAAAUUACACGAUGGGGUAAAGUUUCAAGUGAGUUCGCAUAAGACCUAACUUUAAACGAGCAUAACUCUCACGAUAUGAAGUUUAAUAUUGUUUAUCACCUAUCAGACGAAAGGUCUAUGUAUUUAGUUUCUAAUGCUUCAAACCGUUCGUCAUUUGGAGAUUCCUACAAGACGUUAUGACCUUUUUACUAAAGGGUGACAAAACAGCUACGCUAGUCUUGGUAGCCUACGCACCAUAGCAGUGUAGCCUAUGCACCAUAGCAGCAUAGCCUACGCACCAUUGCGUAGGCAAAUCCAGCAACUUACAAUUGAAGAGGAAUAGAAGUCCACCAUGCGUAGCCUUUGUGCGUAGCCUACGCAGGAGGCUACCCAGCUUCAAGGGUCAUUUUAAGGAGCUGAAAAUGAGGGUUUUGAGAGAGAGUGUGUUAGUUCUUCAUCUUGGAAUGGAUUUCUAGAGAGAAGGAGAAGCUCCUCCACCAUGGAUACACUAACAUAUUAUGGAUCAAAUCCAUAGGAAAUGGGUUGAAGCUUCAAGAACACCAAAAAGAGAAAAAGUGAGAUUUUUCCACCAAGAGGUAAUCCCUUCUCUUGAGCUUCAUAUAUAUGUCAUAUUGGAGUAUGGGUAGAAUGUUUAUGAGUUUUAUUUGAAGUUAUAAUGGGAUAUUGUAUGUACCCUAAGGGUAGUUCUUGAGAAUGCCAUUUUUGGGUAAAGAAGAAGAUGAAUAGUGAUGAAUUGAUAUAAAUACAUAUGUCUUGAGUUUCUAAUGAUUCCAAUAGACUUGAUAACUUAAUUGAUGUACGAAUUUAAUUGGGAAUCACCAUUUGGAUAGGAUACAACACUAGUUCUUGAAAUGGAUGUUCUUGAACCUAGAGUUUGGUUGAGAAGGCAAUGAAUAGUGACUUGAUGAUGUUGGGUAAUUAACAUAGUAUUAUUAAUGACUCCAAAUGAGUAUUAAAUGACAAUAAUUAAAUUGAAUAGGCUAACGGAUGAGCCUACUGGAUAAUUUGGGAUGGUUGAAGGCUUGUUGCCGAAUUGUGAAGCCUAAAUAGAUAUUUAUGAAUCUUUUCAUAUUUAUUUUGAUAUAGUUGGGAUAUCUAAUGGUAGCAACAAACAUUUCAUACCCGUAGAAGACAUCAACCUCAAGCCAUUGUCAAAACCAUCAUAAACUCUUCGAAACCCAUUUGCCUAUAACCAGGCCAUCAUAACUGAAUCCCUCUAAAUCAUCCUAGUCAUACAGACUGCCAAAUCCAAAAGUCUUGCCACAAAAACACCUACAAGGCCCCCGCGAUCGCGAUGAACAAAUUCCAUUAACACUUCCCAAACUCUUCUAGAUAGCCUGUAGUAUAUCAGCCAUUACUUUUUAUACAAAACUUCAAAUGACAAACGGUUUUAUUUACUUAAAAGUAGUAAAAAAGAGCUACAACUUACUUUUUUGGAUCACGUCCAAAUUCUUUAUGGAUUGCAAGAUAUAAGCUUCCAAAUUCAGAACUGUGACAGUAGAAAUUCCUCUAUGCGAUCGCGAGAGAGGCUACCGCGAUCGCGAUUCACAAGGCCCAAACAGCAAUUUGCUCUUCGGGAACGCGAGCCAAAGGUCCACGAUCACGAUUCACACCCAGUAGCCAAAACCCAGCAACUAAAAAUGGCCUAGAAAUGGUCUGAAAUCACCCAGAAACUCACUCGAGCCCCUCGGGACCCCGUCUGAACAUACCAACAAGUCUCAAAACAUAACACAGACCUACUCGAGGCCUCUAAUCACACAUAAUAACAUCAAAACCACGAGUCUCACCUCAAAUAAACUUUAUGAACUUUUGAAUUUUCAACUUCCAAAACUCUUGCCAAACCAUAUCAAAUCAUAUCAGAAUGACCUCAAAAUUUGCAUACAAGUUUCAAAUGACAUAACGAGCCUAUUCCAACUUCCGAAACAAUAAUUCGAAUCUGAUAUCAUCAAAGUCAACUCCCAAUCAAACCUAUGAACUUUCCAAACCAUCAAAUUGCCAACAUUCUCCAAUUAGCGCCUAAAUAUUUUAGAAAUAUCCAAAUGCAAAUCUGGGCAUACAUCCAAAUCCAAAAUCAUAAUCCAGACCUAACGGAACCAUCAAAACUGUAAUUCGGGGUCAAAUACACAAAAGUAAAAUUGGUCAACUAUUCUAACAUAAUGCUUCUAAGAUGAGAACCAUUCAUCCAAAUUAAUCUUUAAUCACCCAAAAAUCAAAAUCGAAGAUACACACAAGUCAUCAUAAGUCAUACGAUUCUACUCAUGAUCUUAAACCACCGAACUUAGUGAAAAUGCUCAAAACGAUCGAUCGGGUCAUUACAGAACGAUAAUCUACAUCAUACAACUUAUUGGAAUCAAAAUAGAAUCAAUAACUAUAAGUAGCCUUCACUUAGACAAUUUGUCAAACACCUUAGAGUACAUAGAACUCUCAAGUUCCUUAUCAAUAGUAGCUUAACAUCACGACCACAUCUUUUGCCCUACUUAUCUUUCUUAUCAUUUUAGCAACACAACCAACCAAAUUCAGUGAAAAAUACAAAUGAAAAUGUGAAGAAUCCCAUGGUCAAAGGAAAACCAUAUAGUACCCAUAUGAGAACACUUAGAGAGGGUUUGGGAGUGUUUUGGAUCUGGAAAUAGUGAAAAAUACGAAUGAAAAUGGGUUGUAGGUGUUCAUAUAUAUAUAUAUAUAUAUAUAUAUAUAUAUAUAUAUGUGAAUAUUUCCACCAUCUAAAGUGGGACUCAUAGGGAGCUUCUUGCAUAAUCUCGUGAAAAUAUGAAUAUAUAUCUGCUACAUAUCUCUCUACUCCGAUAUUGUAUUGAUGAAUAGUUUAAUGCAUUAGAAACUAGUCUCGUAGAGCUUAAUUUUGGUGGGUGGAUCACCCUAUAACUCCAAUUACAUUGAAAGCAAAUCUCACUGAUAUUAUACCCAAAUUUCAGUAAGAUAAAAAAAAACUUAGUAAGAUUAUGAACGUAUCUUGCGACAACUUUUGCAAAAAAUAAUUUUACAACUUACUUGACUUCAAAUCUUAACAUACGAUUAUUGUAAGAUUCAAAUACCUUAUUACAAGACCUUAUUAUCAUACUAAGCACUCUUAUUCUUAUCCCAAAAGUACGGCUAUGGCAAUCCACUUUUUUUAGAGAACUUCAGUGGAAAGAAUUUCUUUGAUUUGUAUAACCCUGAAUUCUUACAAAACUUACUUAUCACCUCAAUAAACUUCUCUUAACCUUUUGGAGAGAUAUUAAACUCUCUGAGCUUACGUUAGUUAAUUAACGACGCAAUCGACGUCAAAAGUAUGGGGUGUAACACAAUAACUCACUUCAUAAUUAAUAAAAAUUAUUCAAUACAUAAGCAUAUCAAGAGAUUUAACCCAAAAUUUCAUAUUGAAUAUUUCCAUAAACAAAGUUUCAAUACCACCAUGAAUCAGAACUUACAUGAAACCCAAACAUCUUAGGAUAGUCACUGGCAGACACUAGUUCAUGAUCACUCUUCACUGAGUGUUAAGUAGUCUAGGUUAGGCAAUUCAGACUUGAAAAUAAUCUCACAAAGGGUUAUGCUAACAAUGAAUAACAGAAGCAAUCAACUAGAUAAAACAAUGAAGUGAUUUGAUAAUUAAGAAAGGGUCCUAUAUGCAUAGUAUCUACAACAUGAUAUUGAAUAACAAGAAAGAUAGGAAUUUUAACUAUAUUAUCAAAUAACUUAGAUCAACAAUACUCAAUCAAUAGGCCAGGCAGUGUUGCCUCAUUUUAUUAAGGUAUUAUAGACAUGGUUUCCAUAAACAUAAACAAUCAGUAUGAUAAAGAAACAGCAUGCAUGGUUUUAUAAAACAAAAUACAAUUACUAAACAUGUUAGGGGCAGGUAUUCAAGUUUUAUCACAUGUUCUAUAUUCAAGUUAAUAUGAUGAACAUAUACUACUUGCUAACAAGACUUCAAUCUGUCCGGUAUGCUAACAUGAUAGGUCACACGUACUUUCAAUGAAAGACACCAAUUAUCCAAGUAAUAUGGUGUAAGAACCUAAAUGACUAACAACAAAGAACCAGUGUCCAAGCAAAACAUAAACAUAGCAAAUAAGAUUUAAUGGUCACCAAGAGACAUUUGUUGACUAAACAAAACAACAUAAGGGACAAACAUAGCUGAUAAUAGGGGAUAUUAAUUAGUUAAGUAAACAUCAACAUGAGCAUCAAACCACAAUUGAGGGACAUAUGCUGACUAACAGAAUAACAUGAGAGACAGUAGACACACGAUUAAGAGCGAAACAUUCAAUAACUAAGAAGAACCACUAUGCGAAAGCAAUAAACAAAUCUGACUUAUUAAGGUAGAAUCGGGGAUUUACUAACCUUUUUAGGGGCAGCAAACGAGGUAGUUACUAUCAGCCAUUAAGAACCAAUGCUCACAGCCAACUCCAAGCAGUUAAACUCGAACAGAAACGAAAGAGAAAAAAGUAACUUGGACAAACAAACUUAAAGAUUUAAAGAGAAUUCAAGUGUAUUUACUAUCAUUCGAUUAUAUUUUAGUGUGCUGGUGAGGGCAUUAAAGCCCGAUAUUAUUGCCAAGAUUGGAGAUUUAGGGUUUUCAUUUGAAUUUUGAAAUUCAGUUGAAGACAUAGGAUGAUGAUGAAUAUUGAUGAGAUCGUAUGAUGAAAUCAAAGUAAAAAAAUGAGAACUCAGAAAGGGAAACUAGGGUAAGGAUUUUACCUAUCCAAAGAUGACGACCAGACUAGCCAUUUGAGGCCAACGGACCGUGGGACAAAAACAUUGCCCAGAGGUCCCUGCAUUUUACCUCUCGGCCAUCAACCGUCAUGAAGAGGUCACGAUUCUUUCGAAUAUGUGGCUGCAUGCGACACUUUAAUGGUUAUAUGAACAAACUAACAUGGUGAUCAUGAGAUUCUUUGUUUUUUAAAUUUAGGGGUAGGGUUUCAAUGAGUUGAGGCUUGGAAAUGAGAGAUGGAAAUGGAAGUUUUAGCUAGAUUUUGAGUUUAUAAGGGAGAUUAUUGGAGCUAUAGUUGUCUUCCAAUGCUCUAGCAUUGAUUUGUGUUAGUUUCGUGAAUCUUCAUAGGGAAAAGGACGAGGGAAAUAAUGAGAUAAAGGGGAAACUAGGGCGGCUGGUGAGGCUGGAAUGAAUUAGGGUUAGGGGUGUUUGAUGAAUUAAAGGGGUGGGAUAAAUC
rnacentral:lncRNA from 1 species